rnacentral:rRNA from 1 species
GACGAACGCUGGCGGCGUGCCUAAUACAUGCAAGUUGAGCGCUGAAGGUUGGUACUUGUACCAACUGGAUGAGCAGCGAACGGGUGAGUAACGCGUGGGGAAUCUGCCUUUGAGCGGGGGACAACAUUUGGAAACGAAUGCUAAUACCGCAUAAAAACUUUAAACACAAGAUUUAAGUUUGAAAGAUGCCAUUGCAUCACUCAAAGAUGAUCCCGCGUUGUAUUAGCUAGUUGGUGAGGUAAAGGCUCACCAAGGCGAUGAUACAUAGCCGACCUGAGAGGGUGAUCGGCCACAUUGGGACUGGAACACGGCCCAAACUCCUACGGGAGGCAGCAGUAGGGAAUCUUCGGCAAUGGACGAAAGUCUGACCGAGCAACGCCGCGGGAGGGAAGAAGGUUUUCGGAUCGUAAAACUCUGUUGGUAGAGAAGAACGUUGGUGAGAGUGGAAAGCUCAUCAAGUGACGGUAACUACCCAGAAAGGGACGGCUAACUACGUG